rnacentral:rRNA from 1 species
GUCGAACGGUAACAGGUCUUCGGAUGCUGACGAGUGGCGAACGGGUGAGUAAUACAUCGGAACGUGCCUAGUAGUGGGGGAUAACUACUCGAAAGAGUAGCUAAUACCGCAUGAGAUCUACGGAUGAAAGCAGGGGACCUUCGGGCCUUGUGCUACUAGAGCGGCUGAUGGCAGAUUAGGUAGUUGGUGGGGUAAAGGCUUACCAAGCCUGCGAUCUGUAGCUGGUCUGAGAGGACGACCAGCCACACUGGGACUGAGACACGGCCCAGACUCCUACGGGAGGCAGCAGUGGGGAAUUUUGGACAAUGGGCGAAAGCCUGAUCCAGCAAUGCCGCGUGCAGGAUGAAGGCCCUCGGGUUGUAAACUGCUUUUGUACGGAACGAAAAGCCUGGGGCUAAUAUCCCCGGGUCAUGACGGUACCGUAAGAAUAAGCACCGGCUAACUACGUGCCAGCAGCCGCGGUAAUACGUAGGGUGCAAGCGUUAAUCGGAAUUACUGGGCGUAAAGCGUGCGCAGGCGGUUUUGUAAGACAGUGGUGAAAUCCCCGGGCUCAACCUGGGAACUGCCAUUGUGACUGCAAGGCUAGAGUGCGGCAGAGGGGGAUGGAAUUCCGCGUGUAGCAGUGAAAUGCGUAGAUAUGCGGAGG